rfam:Colletotrichum higginsianum, IMI 349063, WGS project CACQ02000000 data, contig: cont1.1692
GGAAGGGUGGCCGAGUUGGUUAUGGCGCCAGGUUAAGGUCAGCUUAACAUCUGUUUCCUGGUGGGGCAACCCGCGCGAGUUCGAGUCUCGUCCCUUUCA